rnacentral:lncRNA from 1 species
UCCUUAAAACCUUUACUGAAGAAAACAGACAAUGAAUAUAAUAAAAGACGCUCCACACUCUUUUUAAACAAUAAUAUGUCAAGGCUCCCCUUAUGAAUCUAUAGAUAUAAUGCAACAUCAAGUAGAAUGUGUUUUUUUAAUUUAAUCAUGAUCAAUACCAGAAAUAUAUAAAUAAGUUCCAGUUUUCCAAAAUGGUAAGAUAGAUUUCAAUCAAUUCUUCCCAUUAAAACAACAAAAAAUAUUGGGUGAAGUAUGAAAAACAAAUUCUUAAAAGUCACAAGUGAAGAGUAAGGAGUUACUCAGCCAAAACUAUAAAGGAAAACUAGGGAGUCUAGGGAAAAUUAACAUUAGAGCUGCUUUUGACCUGAGGGUGUCUGGUCAUCAGGAAAAAUAUUUUUGUUUGAGGGUCUUAUGGGUUAAGAGGAACAUAAUUUAAAGCACAAAACUCAAAUAAAAUAAUGAGUUUAAAAAGGUAACUUCCCCACAAUGACCUGUGGCGCCAAAGGGCAACAUUCUCAAAAGUAAUAGUCAUCUAAAAGUAAACCAGUCCCUGUAGUCUUAUAACAAAGGUUUGCAUAGUUUCAUGGUUCAGGGAAUUGUAAAUCUUGGAUUAAGGAGGCACUCCACCUCUCCAAAGGCACUUAUAGAAUAAAUCACAAAAAAAUUAAAAGUUGGAAAAUACUUUUAGUAUUUUACAAGAGUAGACUGAGACACAGAAGAUAAAGAGAACAGAAGAGGGUACAGAUAGUAUUUGAGGGGGUAACAGAUGAAAAUAUUCUAGAACCCAUGAAAGGUCCUCAUCAACAGAUUCAAACACCACAAAGAACAAGCAUACAAUAGAGGGUUAUUGGGAAAGCCAAUAAAUUGGCCCUAUGAGAGACAUAAUCUGGUAAAUGUCUCUUGAUCUCUCACCAUUUUUUCUCCCAUAGGACCCUCCCCUUCCUCAAAAACAUACAUACACAUACUCCACUGACAGUGAACUAUGAUGCUGUUGCCUAAUAUGUACCAUUUAUGCUUGGGUUAAAAAAAAUAGACACUUGGAUUCCUUUAUAAAGGGAAACAAUGAUAUUAUAAAGAUACAUACAGAUUAAAAAUGAAAUUACAACAGGAAAACCACUUUAUUGACAAAGUCACAUCACAGAUUUCUGGCCAGCAUUCAGAUUGAACAAGGUGGGACAUCUGCCCAAAAGACAAUCAGUCACCUGUAGCCUAAGAAUGGAAAGAUCAGAUCACAGGGUACUAAACAUGUUCACCUAAAAGGGCAUGUUGGUCAACAGGAGAUUUUGGCUCAAACAACCACCAAAAAUGGAUAUACCAGGGCUGUCACCGUGGCUCAGUGGUAGAGUACUCAUCUAGCACAUGUGAGGCACUGAGUUUGAUCCUCAGCACCACAUAAACAUAAAUAAUGGUAUUGUGUCCAUCUACAACUAAAAAUAAAUAAAUAUACCUAUACUAAAAUUAAUUUCUUAAUUUUGGUACCAUGGCUAUAUAAGAUGUUAUCAUUAGAAGCUGGAUGUGGUGGUGCAUGCCUGCAAUCCCAGAGAAGUGG